rnacentral:rRNA from 1 species
AGUGAACGCUGGCGGUAGGCCUAACACAUGCAAGUCGAACGGCAGCACAGUAAGAGCUUGCUCUUACGGGUGGCGAGUGGCGGACGGGUGAGGAAUACAUCGGAAUCUACUUUUUCGUGGGGGAUAACGUAGGGAAACUUACGCUAAUACCGCAUACGACCUACGGGUGAAAGCAGGGGAUCUUCGGACCUUGCGCGAUUGAAUGAGCCGAUGUCGGAUUAGCUAGUUAGCGGGGUAAAGGCCCACCAAGGCGACGAUCCGUAGCUGGUCUGAGAGGAUGAUCAGCCACACUGGAACUGAGACACGGUCCAGACUCCGACGGGAGGCAGCAGUGGGGAAUAUUGGACAAAGGGCGCAAGCCUGAUCCAGCCAUACCGCGUGGGUGAAGAAGGCCUUCGGGUUGUAAAGCCCUUUUGUUGGGAAAGAAAAGCAGCAGGAUAAUACCACGCUGUUCUGACGGUACCCAAAGAAUAAGCACCGGCUAACUUCGUG